rnacentral:rRNA from 1 species
CAGUAGGAUAGGCGAAGCGUGCUGUUGGAGUGCACGUCCAAGCAGUGAGAUUGAGUGUUAGGCAAAUCCGGCACUCUUAAGAUUGAGCUGUGAUGGGGAGAGGAACUUGUUCCUCGAGUCGUUGAUUUCACACUGCCGAGAAAAGCCUCUAGCUAGAAUAACGGUGCCCGUACCGCAAACCGACACAGGUAGUCAAGAUGAGAAUUCUAAGGUGAGCGAGCGAACUCUCGUUAAGGAACUCGGCAAAAUGACCCCGUAACUUCGGGAGAAGGGGUGCUCUUUGAGGUUCACGCUUCGAAGAGCCGCAGUGAAUAGGCCCAAGCGACUGUUUAUCAAAAACACAGGUCUCUGCUAAACCGUAAGGUGACGUAUAGGGGCUGACGCCUGCCCGGUGCUGGAAGGUUAAGAGGAGUGGUUAGCGCAAGCGAAGCUACGAAUCGAAGCCCCAGUAAACGGCGGCCGUAACUAUAACGGUCCUAAGGUAGCGAAAUUCCUUGUCGGGUAAGUUCCGACCCGCACGAAAGGCGUAACGAUUUGGGCACUGUCUCAACGAGAGACUCGGUGAAAUCAUAGUACCGGUGAAGAUGCCGGUUACCCGCGACAGGACGGAAAGACCCCGUGGAGCUUUACUGUAGCCUGAUAUUGAAAUUCGGUACAGUUUGUACAGGAUAGGUAGGAGCCUUAGAAGCGUGAGCGCUAGCUUACGUGGAGGCAUUGGUGGGAUACUACCCUAAUUGUAUUGGAUUUCUAACCCGCAGCACUUAUCGUGCUGGGAGACAGUGUCAGGCGGGCAGUUUGACUGGGGCGGUCGCCUCCUAAAGAGUAACGGAGGCGCUCAAAGGUUCCCUCAGAAUGGUUGGAAAUCAUUCAUAGAGUGUAAAGGCAUAAGGGAGCUUGACUGCGAGACCUACAAGUCGAGCAGGGUCGAAAGACGGACUUAGUGAUCCGGUGGUUCCGCAUGGAAGGGCCAUCGCUCAACGGAUAAAAGCUACCCCGGGGAUAACAGGCUUAUCUCCCCCAAGAGUUCACAUCGACGGGGAGGUUUGGCACCUCGAUGUCGGCUCAUCGCAUCCUGGGGCUGUAGUCGGUCCCAAGGGUUGGGCUGUUCGCCCAUUAAAGCGGUACGCGAGCUGGGUUCAGAACGUCGUGAGACAGUUCGGUCCCUAUCCGUCGUGGGCGUAGGAAAUUUGAGAGGAGCUGUCCUUAGUACGAGAGGACCGGGAUGGACAUACCUCUGGUGUACCAGUUGUCGUGCCAACGGCAUAGCUGGGUAGCUAUGUAUGGACGGGAUAAGUGCUGAAAGCAUCUAAGCAUGAAGCCCCCCUCGAGAUGAGAUUUCCCAACUUCGGUUAUAAGAUCCCUCAAAGAUGAUGAGG